ACUAAAAUGGACUGGAAUGGGCACAGAGAAGAUUAGCAUGACCCCUGAGCAAGAAUGACAGACAAAUUUGUGAAAUGUCCCAUAUUUUU
rnacentral:snRNA from 1 species